ACAUUCACAUGCCUGUCAUGCUUGACAUGAUGAUUAUGCAUAUGGUCUUACAGAGAGCACAUCACAUAGGGCAGAAAAGCUUUUAGGAAGAAGAAGAAAGGAAAGGACAGCAAUAAAACAAUAGCCAGUCAUGAAAGUAUUCUACAUUAUUUUGAUUCUUUUGAUUCUUCAUGAAUCGAUCGAAAUAGAAUCAAACGAUCUAUCAAAGCAAAGAUUGAUAAACUCAGUGUCAGAAAGGAAAGAGAAAGGGGACGUUGAUUUGCAAUAUUGUGGAAGAUCACAACGUCAUCGAUAUUAUUGUAACGAUAACGAAACUUGCUGUUCUCGACCCGGUCCUGCUGCUAGAUACUACUGUUGUUUUGAAUAUUCAGUAUGUUGUCACAACGGGAAUUGCUGCCCUCCUGGAACUGAAUGCGUUAAUCCCAUUCUUUGUCGCCUUUCUCAAAACAUGAGCAACUACUACAUAAAGUGAAAAUCUUUUGUAGUCCAUGAAACAUUUUUACAUCUAAAACGUUUGGGUGAAUGGGAAAUUAUAUGUAAACACUAAAGCAUAUUAUUAUAGCAAAACAAAAAUCAACAUAUGUAUAAGUAAUUAUUUUAUGACAAAAAAUAUAGCAAAACUUAACAUAAAAAUGUUAACUUGUUACAUUCUUUGUCGUCACCUUUAAGUUGAAAUUUGUAGAGGAUGGUGAUAUUAAGGGUGUGAUAUGGUCAAGAAAAUAUUUUGAAAAUAUAAUAUAAUGCUGAUAUUUUAUAUACGAAAAUACGAGAAUCUGGACUU